rnacentral:rRNA from 1 species
GUGGGGAAUCUUGCGCAAUGGGCGAAAGCCUGACGCAGCCAUGCCGCGUGAAUGAUGAAGGUCUUAGGAUUGUAAAAUUCUUUCACCGGGGACGAUAAUGACGGUACCCGGAGAAGAAGCUCCGGCUAACUUCGUGCCAGCAGCCGCGGUAAUACGAAGGGGGCUAGCGUUGCUCGGAAUUACUGGGCGUAAAGGGCGCGUAGGCGGACAGCUUAGUCAGAGGUGAAAGCCCAGGGCUCAACCUUGGAAUUGCCUUUGAUACUGGCUGUCUUGAGUGUGGGAGAGGUGAGUGGAACUCCGAGUGUAGAGGUGAAAUUCGUAGAUAUUCGGAAGAACACCAGUGGCGAAGGCGACUCACUGGCCCAAUACUGACGCUGAGGCGCGAAAGCGUGGGGAGCAAACAGGAUUAGAAACCCCGGUAGUCC